UGGUGCUGUCGGUCAAUGACAAGUGGCACUACUGCCAGAACUCCGACAUCCUGGUGGGCUCCCGGGCCAUGCGGGACCGGCACCUGCGGCUGCUGGGAUACUGUCUGGUGCAGCUGCCCUACACGGAGCUGGAGAAGGUGAGUGGCAUCGAGGAGGCCAAGCACUACCUGCGGCAGAAGCUGAGGGAGCUGCGCUUCUGAGGGACGGAUCCGGGGGGUGUGGGGGGCCAGGUGGGUGCUGCCAGCCCCUUCCCCUGUGCCGGGGGAUACGGAGCUGCCCCCCAUCCCGGGGGGUCGGGGGAUAUGGAGAUGCUCCCCAUCUUGGGGAGCCAGGCUGUGGGGCCAGGCCGUGGGCACUGCUCCUGCUGUGGGGCUGGGGGAGUGUGAGAUUAUUUAUUGCCGUUAUGGGGGGCCGGGGUGUGACUUGGGGGGUGCCGAGGGUGGGGGGAGUUACUGGGGAAGGUCCCUCAUGGCCCCCCUGCCCUGGCUCUGCCACCUCAGCCUGGUCUGUUGCUGCUGCUGGGCCUGGGCUGGGCACCAGGGCUGUCCCUGUGUCCCCAGCAUGGCCCAGCCAGGACACUGGGGGCUGUCCCUGUGUCCCCAGCACAGCUGCUGGGCCAUGGCACUGGGCCUGGCCCCUCCAGGAUCCCAGGGGCUGUGGUGGAGAAUCUGUGCAGGGCCGGGAGCGGGUGUGCACAUGGGGCUGUUCCCAGGGCCUGGGCCUGGAGGAGGGGGGUGUUAGGGAAAGGGGAACUUUCCAAUAAAACUGGUGAAAAGUG